GACGAACGCUGGCGGCGUGCUUAACACAUGCAAGUCGAACGGAAAGGCCCUGCUUUUGUGGGGUGCUCGAGUGGCGAACGGGUGAGUAACACGUGAGUAACCUGCCCUUGACUUUGGGAUAACUUCAGGAAACUGGGGCUAAUACCGGAUAGGAGCUCCUGCUGCAUGGUGGGGGUUGGAAAGUUUCGGCGGUUGGGGAUGGACUCGCGGCUUAUCAGCUUGUUGGUGGGGUAGUGGCUUACCAAGGCUUUGACGGGUAGCCGGCCUGAGAGGGUGACCGGCCACAUUGGGACUGAGAUACGGCCCAGACUCCUACGGGAGGCAGCAGUGGGGAGUAUUGCACAAUGGGCGGAAGCCUGAUGCAGCAACGCCGCGUGCGGGAUGACGGCCUUCGGGUUGUAAGCCGCUUUCGCCUGUGACGAAGCGUGAGUGACGGUAAUGGGUAAAGAAGCACCGGCUAACUACGUG
rnacentral:rRNA from 1 species